rnacentral:rRNA from 1 species
UAAGACGGGGGGGGCGAGCGUUGUUCGGAAUUACUGGGCGUAAAGGGCGCGCAGGCGGCUUGGGAAGUCUUGGGUGAAAGCCCCCAGCUCAACUGGGGAAUGGCCUGCGAAACCACUAGGCUGGAGUGCUGGAGAGGGAAGCGGAAUUCCCGGUGGAGCGGUGAAAUGCGUAGAUAUCGGGAGGAACACCAGAGGCGAAGGCGGCUUCCUGGACAGACACUGACGCUGAGGCGCGAAAGCUAGGGGAGCAAACGGGAUUAGAUACCCCGGUAGUCCUAGCUGUAAACGAUGGGUACUAGAUGUGGGGGGUAAUUGAAAGUCCUUCCGUGUCGCCGAUAACUCAAUAAGUACCCCGCCUGGGGAGUACGGCCGCAAGGCUG